GGAAUAUUGGACAAUGGGCGAAAGCCUGAUCCAGCAACGCCGCGUGAGGGAUGACGGCCUUCGGGUUGUAAACCUCUUUCAGCGGGGACGACGCGCAAGUGACGGUACCCGCAGAAGACGCACCUGCCAACUCCGGGCCAGCAGCCGCGGUAAUACGUAGGGUGCGAGCGUUGUCCGGAAUUAUUGGGCGUAAAGGGCUCGUAGGCGGUUUGUCACGUCGGGAGUGAAAACUCGGGGCUUAACUCCGAGCCUGCUUCCGAUACGGGCUGACUAGAGGUAUGCAGGGGAGAACGGAAUUCCUGGUGUAGCGGUGAAAUGCGCAGAUAUCAGGAGGAACACCGGUGGCGAAGGCGGUUCUCUGGGCAUUACCUGACGCUGAGGAGCGAAAGUGUGGGGAGCGAA
rnacentral:rRNA from 1 species